rnacentral:misc_RNA from 1 species
UCUCCGUAGGUGAACCUGCGGAUGGAUCAUUACCAAAGAUGGCGGGCCUCCGUGCCCCCGUCCCCAACCCAUUGUUGACCAAAAACCCUUUUGCCUCGGGGGCAGAGCGUCCGCCGCCGCCCCCGGAGGACCAUCUAACGCUGUCUCUUUGCGUCGGAGUAAUUGAUGAAACGAAUGAAAACUUUCAACAACGGAUCUCUUGGUUCUGGCAUCGAGAAGAACGCAGC